rnacentral:rRNA from 1 species
AGCAGUAGGGAAUUUUUCACAAUGGACGAAAGUCUGAUGGAGCAAUGCCGCGUGAACGAUGAAGGUCUUUUUAGAUUGUAAAGUUCUUUUAUUUGGGAAGAACAGUUAGUAGAGUGGAAAGCUACUAAUUUGACUGUACCAUUUGAAUAAGUAACGACUAACUAUGUGCCAGCAGUCGCGGUAAUACAUAGGUUGCAAGCGUUAUCCGGAUUUAUUGGGCGUAAAACAAGCGCAGGCGGAUUAGAAAGUCUGGUGUUAAAAGCAAUUGCUUAACGAUUGUAUGCAUUGGAAACUUCUAGUCUAGAGUUUGGUAGAGAGUCCUGGAACUCCAUGUGGAGCGGUGAAAUGCGUAGAUAUAUGGAAGAACACCAGAGGCGAAGGCGAGGACUUGGGCCAAUACUGACGCUUAGGCUUGAAAGUGUGGGGAGCAAAUAGGAUUAGAUACCCUAGUAGUCCACACUGUAAACGAUGGAUGUUAAGUGUCGGAGCGAAUACUUCGGUGCUGCAGUUAACACAUUAAACAUCCUGCCUGAGUAGUACAUUCGCAAGAAUGAAACUCAAACGGAAUUGACGGGGACCCGCACAAGUGGUGGAGCAUGUUGCUUAAUUCGACGGUACACGAAAAACCUUACCUAGACUUGACAUCUUGGGCGAAGCUAUAGAAAUAUAGUGGAGGUCAACCCAAUGACAGGUGGUGCAUGGUUGUCGUCAGCUCGUGUCGUGAGAUGUUGGGUUAAGUCCCGCAACGAGCGCAACCCUUAUCGUUAGUUACUUUGUCUAACGAGACUGCCAACGUAAGUUGGAGGAAGGUGGGGAUGACGUCAAAUCAUCAUGCCCCUUAUGUCUAGGGCUGCAAACGUGCUACAAUGGCCAAUACAAACAGUUGCAAAUCCGUAAGGUGGAGCUAAUCUGUAAAGUUGGUCUCAGUUCGGAUUGAGGGCUGCAAUUCGCCCUCAUGAAGUCGGAAUCACUAGUAAUCGCGAAUCAGCCAUGUCGCGGUGAAUACGUUCUCGGGUCUUGUACACACCGCCCGUCAAACUAUGAGAGCUGGUAAUAUCUAAAACCGUGUUGCUAACCGCAAGGAAGCGCAUGUCUAGGGUAGGGCCGGUGAUUGGAGUUAAGUCGUAACAAGGUACCCCUACGAGAACGUGGGGGUG